GAAAAAAAGCUUACAAAUAUGGUUAAUUUUCGUUUUUUGGUCGAUUUUGUCAUCAUCGCCAAAGUAUUCAUCGGCUAUGCAGCGGCUGUAGCAUUUGAUGUUGUGGGGAACCUCGGAGAAAGGCAAGAAUGGCGGCACGUCUUCCACCUGCUUGCUGGUUAAGUUAUAAAGCCUUAAACAGUCUUCGGCAGCAAAACAAAUUGUGAACUCUCAACUCACCCAAAGCAGAAAGAAAAGGCAGAAUGUAGAAAUACGUAGAACAACCAUCAUGGAUCACAAAAAUUUCCAAACUAAAACUGAAAAACAAUGGGAAUCUCUAUAUACUUGGAAUAAGUCUAAUUUGGAGCCUGAAAGUAUGCUUCAUAUUCAUAAUGGCUUAUUUACAAAAUUUACUACAGAAAACGGUGGAAAAUAACUAAAAUUAUAACCUAGUUAUAACGAAAAUAACUAGGCCUAUACUUGAUGUCAAAAUGUAUAUAUAUUAAGAACAGGAAUAAAAAACACAAAAGACUCA